AAUAUUACAAAAGUAUCCUACACAUUUGUGAGGAAGAUUUUGUGCCUUGGGUAAUUUCCUGCAUUUCGCAAAGCGGAUCAAAACGGCUCAGCACGAACCUAAGAACCACGCCUUAGGCAGACAUUUGAUACCGAAGCCUUCUACGAGGUGUAGAAGUGAGUAAUUUAGUCUGAUUUGAUAGUACAUUGGGGUCCACGGUGCACGUAAUCUUCCCCGUAGUCCAUAUCUGGAGAAUCCAGACGACAGUUUGGAGGAGGUCUCUCUUCCCGCUGUGUACACUAUUUCCCGGCGAAUGCCAUCCACCCUGCAUGAAGGGGUGAUUUGGAGGUGCAUCUACUCCGACAAAACCUGGCCAACCACUUCAGAGUGGGAGUUUGGAGGAUCUGCCCUUCCGUGAACACAGAUAAGUGCUAGGGAUAUUUUUCUUUUUCUUUUUAAAGCCUAUUGGGGCCUACAAAGUAUUUAUUUAAUAUUUAUCAAGAAAUCCUUUAGCUGAAAAAUUAUUCACUUUAUGUAACAAUGUUAGUCAUUAUUUAUUUGUGUGUUAAUUGAAUUUUAUAUGUAUAUGUCUGUUCAUAUUUACUCCAUUGCAAGCCAAAAGGCGGAUGUUUGUUAAGACGAAAGUGAUCACCUUCAGUUGACGUCGACUAUAAUAAUCACGGGUAAAUUAUUGUAGAACAUCAGAUAUGUUACGCAGAAAUAUCUAAAGAUCUCGCCCUAUUAAGAGAGAUCCUACAUGUGAUAAUUUUGUUCAUUUUUUUAUAUUAAAUAUAAUUGUUAUACUGUCAUACUGUCAGUGUUAUACUAUUUGAAUGAACGUAUUGCUUUGAUAAAAAUAUAUGUGUACUUUUUUUUUGUUCUA